rnacentral:rRNA from 1 species
ACGAACGCUGGCGGCGUGCUUAAGACAUGCAAGUCGAGCGGGGGGACCCGGAGCAGCUUGCUGUGAGGGUUCCCUAGCGGCGGACGGGUGAGUAACGCGUGGGCAACCUACCCGCGAAUCGGGGACAACAGUGGGAAACCGCUGCUAAUACCGGAUGAGCUUUUCCGACCGCAUGGUCGGGGAAGGAAAGACAGCCUCUGCAUAGCAAGCUGUCGUUCGCGGAUGGGCCCGCGUCCCCAUUAGCUAGUUGGUGGAGGUAACGGCCCACCAAGGCGACGAUGGGUAGCCG